rnacentral:rRNA from 1 species
GACGAACGCUGGCGGCGUGCUUAACACAUGCAAGUCGAACGGAAAGGCCCUGCUUUUGUGGGGUGCUCGAGUGGCGAACGGGUGAGUAACACGUGAGUAACCUGCCCUUGACUUUGGGAUAACUUCAGGAAACUGGGGCUAAUACCGGAUAGGAGCUCCUGCUGCAUGGUGGGGGUUGGAAAGUUUCGGCGGUUGGGGAUGGACUCGCGGCUUAGCAGCUUGUUGGUGGGGUAGUGGCUUACCAAGGCUUUGACGGGUAGCCGGCCUGAGAGGGUGACCGGCCUCAUUGGGAUUGAGGUGCUGCCCAGACUCCUACGGGAGGCAGUAGUGGGGAAUAUUGCACAAUGGGCGGAAGCCUGAUGCAGCAACGCCGCGUGCGGUAUGACGGCCUUCGGGUUGUAACCCGCUUUCGCCUGUGACGAAGCGUGAGUGACGGUAAUGGGUAAAGAAGCACCGGCUAACUACGUG